GAUGAACGCUGGCGGCGUGCCUAAUACAUGCAAGUCGAGCGAACGGACGAGAAGCUUGCUUCUCUGAUGUUAGCGGCGGACGGGUGAGUAACACGUGGAUAACCUACCUCUAAGUCUGGGAUAACUUCGGGAAACCGGAGCUACUACCGGAUAAUAUUUUGAACCGCAUGGUUCAAAAGUGAAAGACGGUCUUGCUGUCACUUAUAGAUGGAUCCGCGCUGCAUUAGCUAGUUGGUAAGGUAACGGCUUACCAAGGCAACGAUGCAUAGCCGACCUGAGAGGGUGAUCGGCCACACUGGAACUGAGACACGGUCCAGACUCCUACGGGAGGCAGCAGUAGGGAAUCUUCCGCAAUGGGCGAAAGCCUGACGGAGCAACGCCGCGUGAGUGAUGAAGGUCUUCGGAUCGUAAAACUCUGUUAUUAGGGAAGAACAUAUGUGUAAGUAACUGUGCACAUCUUGACGGUACCUAAUCAGAAAGCCACGGCUAACUACGUG
rnacentral:rRNA from 1 species